AGAAAACAGCAAGAAUGGUGACUGGCUGACUGCAGUGCAUCACUGCUGCUCCCUGCAGCGGGCGGGUAAUUGGCCAUGCGUCGCCUAACGUGGUUCAUGUGGUCGUUAAUUACUUCACUCACCAGAUAAGUGAAUGCUUGUAAGCAAUUAGGUCCCAAUUCCAUGAGGAAGGACACACAUGGGGGUUUGCUCACCUUCUUUUUGCCAUGUGCUGUGGGAGUUUGAAAUGUGCAUCUGAACACAUGGCUGUGAGGAGCUCCUAGCAGAAAGAGGUGUGAAGGAAGUUUGGGUCCACUGAAAAACAUCGAUCUCUUCCAUUUCCCAUUUGAUUUGAUGCCAAAAGUAAAAUAGAGAAUGCAAAAGACCUCUGGGGACUUAAAGAAGAAGAAAUGAAAAAGAGAUUGGAAGGAGCAGAGCAGCUCUGGAUCUGCACUGGGGUGUGGGAGUUAUGCCUUGCCUGCAGUCUGCAUUGUACAACUCCAGUUUGGUCUCCUACAGCGCUACGUUCUCUUUCUUCGUGGAGAGACACCAGCAGAUUUGAUGGGGAGAGGCUUUUGAUUUCUAGGAAAGGCCUGGGGAGAAUUCAGGGACUCUCCAGGGCAGCAGGAGCUGUGAUGGGAGGAGCCGGUGCUGCCCAGCCCGGCCCAGAAAUGCACGGGAGGAGCGGGUGUGCAGGGCACGGCGUGGGGCUGGGGGGCUGCAGCUGCUGCAGGGGGGCACGGAGAUAGCACGGGUAGCACUCAGGGAAGAAACGUGGCAGAGACAGGAUGAGGGCUCUGCUGUCUGUAGUCUGAAAACCACCCGGGCUGUCUCAAGAGUCGUGUUCUUGUUUGCUUCUCUUUGCUGCGGAUGGGAGCAGCUCAGGCUUGGCAGGGCAGGGGCCUUGUCGUCUUCCCAUUUUCAGACACUCGAGUACUUCGCACUCUUGGCAGAAGCGACGUGCUGAAGGGGUUCUGCUCUUCGGUUUCCAAUUCUUAUAUUCCCAACGGUGAUUAAACAAGAA
rnacentral:lncRNA from 1 species